GAGAGGACAAGAAAGACCCCCCACUAAAUUAUUGGACCCUUGGGCAAAUAUUAUAUGUUGGAACAUUGACUUUUAUCAUAAAAAAUUUAUAUAUAAGUGUCCGUCAAUGGAAACUGCUGGCUCACUUCCCAUUUAGAGGAAUCGAAAGUGAAAACAACACCUACAUAUAACUCAUAGAUGGUGAGAUUAUGGAGGGAGGUAGCCAAUGUGGAUGGAGGUGUAGGCACUGGAAGUGGUGCUUUUCUAAUCUUUUUAUUAGGUUUUUUGGUCACUCUGUGUAUUCUCUCAACUAUAAUCUUCUCCUGCGCAGACGGUGUGUCUAAAGAAAAGACCUCUCAAGGAGAUACCGAGCUCUAUGGCGGUGGCUGUGCUGCCGGAUGUGGCGCAGGCUGUGGGGCUUGAGGUGCUUCUGCCAAUUAUGCUACACAAUUAGCCUUAAUAAUAAAGUGCUUGGAGUAUAUAUGAGACGGCAAUACUUUUGGACCUCUUUGAUGACAGCGAAAUCAUUACAAACCAUUGCAUGACCUUUUAGUUUAGCAAAGAGAAGGAAUACACUCGUCUGAAUCUCAGAAUAAAUAAAAUAGUUUCUUUAAAGGAGAAAGCAAGCAAUGAUAUCAUUGGGAGAAGAUUUCUACAAGUCUUGUUUCAGGAGGAAGCAACCAUCACUAUCUUCAGGAGAAGAUUUCUACAAGUCUUGUAUCGGGUGGAAGCAAGCAACGUUAUCUUCGGAGAAGAUUUGUACAAGUCUUGCAUCGGGAGGAAGCAAGCAGUCAUCAAGUAAUUAAUUUGAAGGGAAUUCAAACCUUGGUGUCUUAAAGAUAUUCAUUCAGCAAAUAGGAGUACAUGAAGCUUGCGAAAAAAUUAUUAGAGGGAGUCUAUGUUUUGUUUAUGUCAAUUACAUUGUACUUUCAAAAUUUAACUAAUGAAUCUUAUCUCUAGGCGUGGUCCCAUGGACUAGUAGCAAUCUGCAAGGCUUGCUGAUACCACGUGCAAAAUAUCUUGUCAUUUUAGUUUCAAUAAUUUUACUUUCUACAGUG